AACGCACGAGACCUGCGGACCUGCGGAAGGAUCAUUACUGAAUUGAUUUUGGGGAUGUUGCUGGUCUCUUGAGGCAAUGGUGCACUCCCUCAAACAUUUCACAAUUUCCAUCUUACCCAUGUGCACAUCCUGUAGGUGGUCUCCCAACCCACCCUCCAAGGAAAGGGGGGGAGUGUGUGGGUCUGGUCUCCUAUGUAUUUCCUUGCCAACAUCACACGUUUUGACCGAAUGAAUCCUGUG
rnacentral:misc_RNA from 1 species